rnacentral:rRNA from 1 species
CAGCAUAGUGCGGUGAGAAUCCGCACCACCGAAAGGGUAAGGGUUCCUCGGCAAUGUUUUUCAGCCGAGGGUUAGCCGGUCCUAAGGUCAAUCUUAACCGACUUGAUCGAAAGGGAAUUGCGUUAAUAUUCGUAAGCCUCUCUGCAAUAAUGGUAACGGCUAAGGCUAGUUCGUGCACUUCAGUCAUGGAGUGUCGAAGCGUUCGAUAAUCGUGUGGAGAACCGUCAUGGUGAGAAACACGAGAAGGCGUGAGUGAAAGACGGAUGAGGCCUUGGUCCCAUGAAAAACCGCAGAAGAUGACCGUACCGAGAACUGACACAGGUACCCAAGGUGAGUAGCCUAAGGUGUGACGGGUAAAGUACCGCGAAGGAACUCGGCAAAAUAGCCCCGUAACUUCGGGAGAAGGGGUGCCAGCUCUGAAGAGAGCUGGUCGCAGUGACAAGAGGACUCCGACUGUUUAAUAAAAACAUAGGCGACUGCUAGAUCGAAAGGUUGUGUAUAGUCGCUGAAUCCUGCUCAGUGCCGGUAUCUGAAAUCGGGGUUCAACCUGACGAAGGACCGGUAAACAGCGGGGGUAACUAUGACCCUCUUAAGGUAGCGUAAUACCUUGUCGCUUAAUUGGCGACUUGCAUGAAUGGCCCAACGAGAGUCCUACUGUCUCCGCGGUACGUCCGGCGAAAUUGACAUUACUGGCGCACAGUCCAGUACCCUCAACCUGCAAGCGAAGACCCCGUAGAGCUUUACUGCAGCCUGGCGUUGUACAAUCGCACUUCACGUGCUGAGUAGACGGGAGACGUUGAUCCACGGGACGCCAGUCCCGUGAGUAGUCGUCCAUAGAGACACCGUCCUUGGAGUGUAAUUGUACUCACUCUUCAUGAGAACACCGCUUGGUGGGCAGUUUGGGUGGGGCGCCACGCGCUCGAAAACAUAACAAGCGUGCCCAAAGGUCAGCUUAGGUGGUUCAGUCUCCACCGUUAACUGUAAGGGGAAAAGCUGGCUUGACUUGGAUCGGACCAAUAACGAUCGAAGAUGCGAAAGCACGGCCUAACGAACCAAUGUACCUCAUUUCUGGGGGUCAUUGAUAACAGAAAAGUUACCUCGGGGAUAAUUGAGUUGUCACCAGCAAGAGCACACAUCGACCUGGUGGCUUGCUACUUCGAUGUCGUCUCUUCCCAACCUCCUGGUGCAGCAGCUGGGAAGGGUGGGGUUGUUCGCCCAUUAAAGGGGAUCGUGAGAUGGGUUUAGACCGUCGUGAGACAGGUUUGUUGCUUUGCGGUUGAGGCGUGUAAGAUGCCUGAUCGGAAGGGUCCUUUAGUACGAGAGGAACGAGGACUCGGAGCCACUAGUUUACCAGUUGUCCGGCAGGGCAAUGCUGGGUAGCCACGCUCCAUGUGGAUAAGAGCUGAAAGCAUCUAAGCUCGAAGUCACCCGAAAGACGAGGCAUCUCAGGGGAUUCGUAGAAGACGAGUUUGAUAGACAGCGGGUGUAAGCACCGAGGUUCGCCGAGGUGUUCAGCCCAGCUGCACUAACCCCCCGAGCAUUCAUUUUU